AUUGAACGCUGGCGGCAGGCCUAACACAUGCAAGUCGAGCGGCAGCGGGAAAGUAGCUUGCUACUUUUGCCGGCGAGCGGCGGACGGGUGAGUAAUGCCUGGGGAUCUGCCCAGUCGAGGGGGAUAACUACUGGAAACGGUAGCUAAUACCGCAUACGCCCUACGGGGGAAAGCAGGGGACCUUCGGGCCUUGCGCGAUUGGAUGAACCCAGGUGGGAUUAGCUAGUUGGUGAGGUAAUGGCUCACCAAGGUGACGAUCCCUAGCUGGUCUGAGAGGAUGAUCAGCCACACUGGACUGAGACACGGCCCAGACUCCUACGGGAGGCAGCAGUGGGGAAUAUUGGACAAUGGGCGAAAGCCUGAUCCAGCCAUGCCGCGUGUGUGAAGAAGGUCUUCGGAUUGUAAAGCACUUUAAGUUGGGAGGAAGGGCAGUAAGUUAAUACCUUGCUGUUUUGACGUUACCAACAGAAUAAGCACCGGCUAACUUCGUGCCAGCAGCCGCGGUAAUACGAAGGGUGCAAGCGUUAAUCGGAAUUACUGGGCGUAAAGCGCGCGUAGGUGGUUUUGUAAGUUGGAGGUGAAAUCCCCGGGCUCAACCUGGGAACUGCCUCCAAAACUGCAUGACUAGAGUACGGUAGAGGGUGGUGGAAUUUCCUGUGUAGCGGUGAAAUGCGUAGAUAUAGGAAGGAACACCAGUGGCGAAGGCGACCACCUGGACUGAUACUGACACUGAGGUGCGAAAGCGUGGGGAGCAAACAGGAUUAGAUACCCUGGUAGUCCACGCCGUAAACGAUGUAAACUAGCCGUUGGGUUCCUUGAGACCUUAGUGGCGCAGUUAGCGCGAUAAGUUGUCCGUCUGGGGAGUACGGCGUCGAGUUUAAAACUCAAAUGUCAUUGGCGGGGGCCCGGACCAGCGGUGGAGCAUGUGCUUUUAUUUUAAUCAGCGCGAAGAACCUUACCUGGCCUUGACAUGAUGUGAACUUUCCAGAGAAGGGUUGGUUCGUUGCGUUAGUCAGACACAGGAGAGGCGUGGCUGUGGUGUGCUCAGUGUCGUGAGAUGAAGGGUUAAGUCCCUCAACGAGCGCGACCCUUCUCUUUAGUUACCAGCAAGUUAUGGUGGGCACUAUAAGGAGACUGCCGGUGACAAACCGGAGGAAGGUGGGGAGGAUGUCAAGUCAUCAUGGCCCUUACGGCCAGGGCUACACACGUGGUACAAUGGUCGGUACAAAGGGGUGGCAAACCGAGAGGUGGAGAUAAUCCCAUAAAACGGAUGGUAGUCUGGAUAGCAGUGUGCAACUCUAGUGUGUGAAGUGUGAAUCGCUAGUAAUCUUGA
rnacentral:rRNA from 1 species